CUAAAACACACACACUCACACACCCUGUACCCACUGACACACCCCACCCCUGUAACUCUAACACACACUCACAUGCUCCCUGUACCCACUGACACAGCUCACCCUGUAACUCUAACACACACACUCACCCACUGACACAGCUCACCCCUGUAACUCUAACACACACACACGCUCCCUGUACUCACUGACACACCCCACCCCUGUAACUCUAACACACACACUCACACGCUCCCUGUACCCACUGACACACCUCACCCCUGUAACUCUAACACACACACUCACACGCUCCCUGUACAGUUUUGUUGCUUUUUAAGCUAGAUGGAUAUUCCAUUCUACACUGUCAUAACCAGGUGCUAUGGUUUGAAUGUGUCCGCUAAACUUCACGUUAGAAAGGUAAACCUCCAGUUUGUAUGUUGAUUGGAGGUGGGGCCUUUGCCAAGUAAUUAGGAUUAGGUAGGGUCAGCAGGGUGGGGCCCUGAUGAUGGUACUGGUGGCCUUACAAGGAGAGGAAGACACCUGAGCUGACGGGCUUGCGCGAUGCCCUCUGCCAGGUUAUGACGCAGCAGGAGGCCCUCCCCAGAUGCAGCCCCUCAACCUUGGACUUCCCAG
rnacentral:lncRNA from 10 species